rnacentral:rRNA from 1 species
CCGACGGUGAGGGAUGAAAGCUGGGGGAGCAAACCGGAUUAGAUACCCGGGUAGUCCCAGCUGUAAACUAUGCAAACUCAGUGAUGCAUUGGCUUGUGGCCAAUGCAGUGCUGCAGGGAAGCCGUUAAGUUUGCCGCCUGGGAAGUACGUACGCAAGUAUGAAACUUAAAGGAAUUGGCGGGGGAGCACCACAAGGGGUGAAGCCUGCGGUUCAAUUGGAGUCAACGCCAGAAAUCUUACCCGGAGAGACAGCAGAAUGAAGGUCAAGCUGAAGACUUUACCAGACAAGCUGAGAGGUGGUGCAUGGCCGUCGCCAGCUCGUGCCGUGAGAUGUCCUGUUAAGUCAGGUAACGAGCGAGAUCCCUGCCUCUAGUUGCCACUAUUACACCCUGGUGUAGUAGGGCGAAUUAGGGGGACCGCCGCAGUUAAUGCGGAGGAAGGAAGGGGCCACGGCAGGUCAGUAUGCCCCGAAACUCUGGGGCCACACGCGGGCUGCAAUGGUAGCGACAAUGAGUUCCAAAAUCGAAAGAUGGAGGUAAUCCCUAAACGCUACCACAGUUGUGAUUGAGGGCUGCAACUCGCCCUCAUGAACAUGGAAUCCCUAGUAACCGCGUGUCAUUAUCGCGCAGUGAAUACGUCCCUGCUCCUUGCACUCACCGCCCGU